CCGGGGGGACGGGGUGGACGUGUCCCCUCCAAUAUUGGAGACAGUAACAAAUUGUCCCACCCAGACAUUAUACCGCGGAGGAGAACAAUAUUUUAUUUUGACAUCUGUAACUCGCUUGCUUUUAUUUUGAAAGCGCAACACAGCGUCUUGCCUCCGGCCCGCCCCUCAACGGCUCGGCUCAGAGUGCUUGGGAAGCGGGAGUCUGUAGCUGUUGAGCAGCGUGUGGUCAGAGGUUAAGAUGAAAAGACAGCAGCAGCUCAUUUUUAGAGAUUUCUUUCUCAUGGGGAAGAAAAGAAAGGGAAUAAGGGAGGCUGUCAUACCAAUAACACUGGUCAGAAAGGUAGCCAGAGCAUGGGAGAGAGAGAGGCCUCAAACCAACAGAUCAGAAUGAGCCAGAGCACCCAUCAGCAGCUGAUCAUCCAGAGCUCCUUCUCAACCCAGCACCCCUAGGGCCACUCAGAGAAGGCCUGGAAAUCCCCAGUGUCCAAUGCAGCCAGUGAUGAUCCAAAUCAUAGGUAGAACUUGGAGAUGUAAGAUGUAAGAUGGAAACAGAAAAUACAACACAUGGAAGUGUAAGGAACAAGAUGUGCCUCUCUGCAUAAAUAAUGACAGGAAACUUCAAUUAUACAUUUGCUAUUAACAGUAAAUGGGACAUUGAAGGGGCAGACUGUGGAAGAAAUAUAUUUAAUAUUUACAUUUUUAUAUUUAAUUUUUUUUAGAUAUAAUUUUUCUCAAAGAUCUAAUAAUGUAAUUACAGUGUCCUCUUGUGGUUGUUACAAUUACUACAAGUAGUUACUUUUUUAUUGUUUUUAUGGGUAACUGAUUUUUAAUUUGGAAUUGUCACUGCAAAUUAGAUUUUGCUAAAUCAUUUUGGGUAAAUAAAAAUAACUAUGAGGUACUAUGAGGCACCCUACCCUUCUCUGUGCUGGUCUGGGGGCAUAGUCAGGACAUGGCAGAAUAGAUGCCUCUAGGCAUCUCUGUGGUUUUGUUCAGGUGUCCCCAAUUAGAGGCAGUUGGCCUGCAUUGCCGGACAGGCGAGUGACAAAGAUUGGGCUGAUCACACUCACCCUGGAAAUUGAAUAUUUAGUGAUCUCCUGUCUGGAAGAAGGCUGAGGUCAAUCAGGUCCAAAACCUCCCGCCACAAGAACAGUUUCUUUCCUCAGCAGUAGGCUUCAUGAAUAUGCCCUUGGAACCAAAUUGACUAUAGCCCACUUCCCAACUUACAACCCACAACGGAUAAAUGUAGAACCCUCUCCCACAUACACACACAACGCUAAACGGGACAAUCUAUUACCCCUUCCCACAUACAUACAUAAAUAACCCUCAACUGGACAAAAACUUGCCCCUUACAUUUUAGUAAUUCAUUAAUACACAGGUCAACUUUUUUUAUGCUCAUUCCGCUGUUCUUAUUUGUUUUUACUUCCCUUAUUCCUUUUUGUAUUAAAUGUUGGACCAACAGCCAGAACAAAUUCCUUGUUGCUUGUGAAACGUACUUGGCAAUAAAACUCUUUCUGAUUCAUGUGUCCAGACUGCCAAUGUCCUACACAGCAGAGGGGUCACAAGCUACACCUGGCUGCUCGGUCCUUCUUGCACAGGUAAAUCCAACAGGUAGGUAUUCCACUCCAGGGUGAGUUCCAUCUCUGUACCUCUCUGCCUUCAACACACUCAGUCUGGACCUAAACACAGUGAUUAGCUGACUGGUAUCAGCCGAGCGCUCUGGCACUGCUUGUAAUGAGCCCUAACCUCCACGAGAGGGCGCAGUAGGACUGCUUGACCCCCCUGAUCUCUCACACUACUACAAUACAUGGCUAGUAGGUUACUUUAUCCAAUGACAUUGGUGCAUUGUGUUCAAGCAUUAGCCUACAUUGUGUUCACAUUCAUAUUUCAAAUGCAGGUGGUACAGUGGUUCUCAAAAGUAUUCACCCCUCAAGGCCUUUUUUAUUUUAUUGUAACAACAUGUUAUCAAAAUUGACUAAAAUCAUUGAUUUCAUAAGUAUUCCCAUCCUAUAGUUAAUAUUUGGCAAAGGAAAAUUUGGCAGCAAUUACCCAGAUUUUACUAUUUCCCAAUGUCGUCAUAGCUUAAAUCCAUGUCUCCCAACCUUUUUCAGUUAUUGUACCACCGACAGAAUAUUUCUCUGCUUGGAGGACCCCUGAAGUACCCCCUCAUGUUAAUCUUACUAGUAAGCCUAUGGUGUCAUGAGUGUUUUCAAGUACCCCCUAUGGAAAGGCUAAGUCUAGUAACCCUGGUUGGGAACCACUGUCUUAAAUGAUAAUGAGAAGGGCGUGUCUAAAACCAUGCAGGGCAUCUAUUGGUUCAGGGUGUCUGUAUCCAGUGUCAGUGGUGAAAACAAUUAUAUUGGUAAUUAAUAUUGAACAAUUCUUAGAUUUAAUUUUUCACAUUGACAUUGUUUUGUUUUUCAGUUUCAUCUUAAAAUAAGUAUUGGUCCAUGAGGGGUGAAUACUUUUGAGCGCCACUGUAGUUGCUUGAGGAAAGCUGCAUGUUCCAGAAUCUACUCAGAUUGGUUAAAAUGUGAAAACAUGACAUGCUCAGCAUGCACUGAGUUCAUUGGUCAGAAAAAGCAAUGCUCUGCCAAUCAGAGUCCUCUUGGGUAUCUCUACUUGCAAACACUAAAACAUACCACUAGAGAAUGUGUUUUACAAGCGGGCCCUGUUCCAGGAUUAAAUUAUUAUUAUUAUUUUUUUAUAAAUGAGGGGCCAAAUCAAAUUCAUAUUAGACCAUUUACAGUGUUCAUGGGGGGAAAAAACUGACAAGUAUUAGUUUUAUUUUACAUUGGAAUCAAAAGUUCCCACUCGUUGGAACAAGCAUUCCGUUUUGGUAAGCAUUAGAUCGCAUGAUCCACAACUACACCACCAAUCAUUCUGGGCAAGUGUUAGUGACUAACGGGUUCACCAGCGACCCUCUCCUCAGCUGCUGUCCGAGUCC